UGGCGAAAAGCGCACAGUUGCUCAUUCAAACAGUGACCGUGCCAGAGUGAAGACGCAUUUCGCGCAGCGAGCAAAGUCUUGCCAAAUUAAGCUCUGCAGCAUAAAACAACUUUUCCAGUGAAGAACUGAACUAAAAUAAGUGUAAAAGUGAUUGAAAAGCCAGAGCAAACGCCACAAGAUGGCGGACGACGAACAGUUCUCGCUGUGUUGGAACAAUUUUAACACAAACCUUUCGGCUGGAUUCCAUGAAUCUCUGAUACAAGGCGAUCUUGUAGACGUCACCCUGGCCGCCGAGGGCCAACUAGUUAAGGCACACAGACUCAUCCUAUCAGUAUGCUCACCUUACUUCCGGAAGAUGUUCACCCAGAUGCCAGCAAACCAGCACGCAUUCAUUUUCCUGAAGGAUGUCAGUCAUUCGGCACUGAAGGAUCUCAUUCAGUUCAUGUACUGUGGGGAGGUGAACGUGAAACAGGAUGCUCUACCUGCGUUCAUUAGCACGGCGGAAGCGUUACAAAUCAAAGGAUUGACUGAAACGGGAGAAAGCGCACCAGCGCAACAAUCGCCCGCCAAAGACACCUCCCACCAUUUGCCCUCGAGCGGGGUGACGACCAUUCCAUCGAGUGCGUCCUCUCCGCGGGCGAAACCUGUGCAACGGAGUCGAAUCCAAUCGUACAAGAUCGAUUCGGAUAACGAGAGUGAACACGAGAAAGUAGUACAAAUUCAAGCCACCUCCACAUCAACUAACGCCAGCAGUAGCAGUACUGGCCCGAGUGCGACCAUCGUUGCCACUCAAGUCAGCACAGCCCCGCAGCAGGUGCAAAUUAUUCAGCAGCAGCAGCAAGCCCAGAAACGGACCUUACAGCAGCGAGCCUCCAUCACUCCGCAAACGACCCAGAUUAUGAAACGAGCCAAGUUAUCCGAUCCGCUAGAGGCGCCAGAACCGGCACAAAUCCAAACAGUGCAAAUUGUAAAGCAAAUCACUCAGACCCCGCAGCCAACUAUCUCCUCCGAACCGGAAUACGUAGAAAUGCCAAUCGAAACCAUAAACCCGAAAGCGGAACCGGACUACGUGGACGAUCCAUCGGAGGUAGAGGCGAUAGAAACGGAACAUGAACACGAGCACGAACACGAGCAAGCACUGACGGAACACGAAGCAGCUGAACAUGAACAGGAUGCGGACGAUAAUUACGUUGAGGACGAAACGUACGGAGAAAUGGCAAAGUACGACGAAUCAUACUUCACGGAAGGCGAAGAGGUCAAGGCUGGUGCUUCAGGAUUUGGCAGUGAAUCAUACACGGACUGUGGCACGGCAGCAGAUCAGGCGGCACAAGUGAAUUGUAGAGAGCCGCGGGUGGAGUACACAAUCAGUAGCAGAGGGAGCCCGCUGCUAUUGCUGGAUGGGUUCAUUUUCACCAGAGAUAAAGUACGAAACAGUGUUACCUCAUGGCGCUGCUCUCAGCAUCGUGCGUUGAGUUGCAAAGCGCGUGCCAAUGCCGUUCGUGAUCGUAGCGGCCAGAAAAAAAUUAUUAUAAAAUAUUCACACAAUCAUCCGCUCGUGAUCGAGCGUAGAAAGAAAAGCUUACAAUAAACAACAUCGCUACCUCUGAUACCUCAAUGUAGCCUAGCUAAACCGAUGCGAUUACGUUAUUUUUGAACAAAAACUAGAGGAUUUUCAGGCACACAUGCGCGCACUUAAUCAUACUACUUCUUUUGCAUUCGCACAGGUACCGUAACGUAUACCGUGAGCCGCCGGGGAAGACGGCAAAUUUGCUAUCUGGGACACGUUUUCGAGAUGGAGAAAGAGCGCCGAGGAUCGACCAGUUGGCGAUGCUGCCAGGCAAAGCCUCUCAAAUGUAAGGCCCGCAUAAUCGAACGGCGUGCGAUAGAGGGGGAUCCAACGUAUGAAGUUGUUCGCUACCUGCAUAACCAUGAAAUUUUAACCGAGCGUAGACCGCGUGGUACACUGAAAAGUGCCGGCAAACUGAGGGAAACGGAGAAUGUUUGAAGACUAUUGUAGGCGAAAUAAAUCAGUUGAAUUAAAGAGGAUGAAGUUUUGCGUUUUAUCUUUGAUUGAUUUGGGGUUUGUUGACGUUCGUUGUAUUAAUAAUCUUGUUUUGUUUCAUUAUAGAGGAACAUCAGGUAGAGUACGUGGUGAGCGCACGAGGUGGUUUGCAGCUCUGUAUUGAUGGCUACCGUUAUACUCGAGACCGGAUAAGAGAUAAUGGAAUGUUUUAUCGAUGCGUACAUUAUAAACCAUUGGGGUGCAAAGCUCGUGCCAAAACCGAGAAGAACAAAUCGCAGGUGCGUGUGAUCGAUGAUGUGCACAAUCACCCGAAGCACAUGGAUCGUCGCAAAAGUGGAGUACUGCGAAAGUUGCUAGAAGAAAGAAAGCGAGACAAUCAGGAUAGCGGGAGUCCUCAAAAAUCAAUGAAAGUAACCCGUUAAAACACCAGAAAUAAAGAAAAACUGAAAAGAAACCUAAGAUUUUUUUUUUACAUUUUAGUUAACUAGUUUUGCUUGGUGAUCAAACAUUGUUCUAGUAUAGCUUCUUGUUCAAUUAUUUCUACCUCUAGGAGUGGAAUACGGCCCAACAUUCUACGCUUUGAGCCCUAGGGGGGCAUUUCAGCUUGUCGUUCGUAGUUUCCCUUACACGCAACAAUUCAAGAAAACGAAGUCAGGAAAGGUUCACUGGCGAUGUGUUCGGUCUCAAACUACAGGUUGCCCUUCCAGAGUACGUACACAUCUCGAGAAAAUCGAGAAGAUAUCGUAUGAACACAACCAUGAGAUGUCACAAGAACGUCGUAUUGCCCUCAAGCAGCUUUUUUGGAACGACAAGUAGGGCAAUCAUCGUCAUCAUUCGAAAAAAAAAAUAACCAGGGUAGCCAAAACCAAAAAUAAAGAAAAACUGAAAAGAAACCUAAGAUUUUCUAUAAAAUCGUAAUCAUUCAGUUUAGUUUUUUUUUUGUUUAAUUAUUCCCACCUCUAGGAAUUGAAUACGGCCCAACAUGCUACGCUUUGAGCCCCAGGGGGGCAUUUCAGCUUGUCGUUCGUGGUUUCCCUUACAUGCAAUUCAUGAUACAAAAGUCAGGAAAGGUUUUAUGGCGAUGUAUUCGGUUUCAAUGCCCUUCCAUGGUAUGUACAUACUUCGAGAGAAUCGAGAAGAUGUGGAAUGAACAUAACCAUGAGGUGGUACAAGAACAUCGAAUCACCCUCAAACUGCUCUUUUGGAACGACAAGUAGGACAACCAUCGUCAUCAUUGGAUCAAUGCUAAUAUCUGCUCGAAUAAACGAUUCUUUGAAUAUAGUAAUGGGUUUUCAAAAAUUAUUUUCCCGAUUAAAAAUGACGUAUCGUCGUGAAUUGUUCUAAUGAAUGCUUAUCCUUCUAGGAAGCGCAAAAGUGCCGCCAAGGAGGGCCUACAAACGAGCCGAAUUGGAGAAAUCCGACCGUCCUUAUAACUACAAUCGACGAGGGAAUCUCGUCUACGAUGAUUACACCUUUUCCAAGACAAGUACAAACGGAGUGGAAAAUGUUGUCUACUGGAGAUGUACCGGGUAUCGUAAGCACAAAUGUAGAGCUUCGUUGAAAACCCAGCGUAAAGAUUUGUUUGUCGUCAAUGUGGUGCACAAUCAUGAACCAAAUGCAGUUGGUGGCCGCAUUAUAUCAUCGUCCGCCCUGCCCGUUUGGAGUGUCUCUGCUGAAACUAGCUAAUAUCAUCAAACCGCCCGAUCAUUGUGAAAUAAAAAUGGAACGAACUAAAAUCCUGUUUUCUUAUAUAUGGCUUAUGAUAUUUGUAGUGUUCUUCUUUUAACAAAUGCACUAACAUUUCUUCUUUUCUUUUCACAGGCAAGCUAAAAGUAGCAUCUUUACCGAUUAUUUUGAAGAAAAUCAAAAUUAAACGGCCUAAGAAAAUGUUCCCAUCCACAAAACUACCCACACCGACAACGCCCUCGAAACAAGCUGCAUCUGUUGUCCGAGCAAACCCCGAUAUGGUUCUAACCCACGACGGCAGUAAGGUAAUGCCCGAAUCGAUCGUGAAGCAACUCUCGAAUGGCCACACGCUGAUGAUUUUCAAGAAAGCGCGCGUCCGGGGUUUUUGCGUUGACUGUAUUCGCAAGACACAGGACCCCCAGUACAAGAAGCGGCUGAGCAAAAUAUUCACUUACUGCUCGGCAUGUCCCGGUGGACAAUGGAUAUGUGAGACGUGCUUCGAUGAAAAACAUCAUGUAGAGAACCAUUGAAUCGAAUCGAAUAAAGUCGUGCUGCCGUGCGUUAAA